rnacentral:ncRNA from 1 species
CUGUUCAGGGCGAGGUGCGAUUCCUCACUGGCGGUGACGGGGUAACCCGAAGUCCGCGAGCCCAAGAGGGCAUGACCUGGUGCGAUUCCAGGACCAACGGUACAGUCCGGAUGGAAGAACA